rnacentral:rRNA from 1 species
UUGACCUCAAAUCAGGUAGGACUACCCGCUGAACUUAAGCAUAUCAAUAAGCGGAGGAAAAGAAACUAACAAGGAUUCCCUUAGUAACUGCGAGUGAAGAGGGAAAAGCUCAAAUUUAAAAUCUGGCAGUGUUUCACUGUCCGAGUUGUAACCUAGAGAAGUGUAACCUGUGCUGGACCGUGUAUAAGUUUCCUGGAAUGGAGCAUCACAGAGGGUGAGAAUCCCGUCUUUGACAUGGACUACCAGUGCAUUGUGGUUGUGCUCUCAACGAGUCGAGUUGUUUGGGAAUGCAGCUCUAAAUGGGUGGUAAAUUCCAUCUAAAGCUAAAUAUUGGCGAGAGACCGAUAGCGAACAAGUACCGUGAGGGAAAGAUGAAAAGAACUUUGGAAAGAGAGUUAAACAGUAUGUGAAAUUGUUGAAAGGGAAACGUUUGAAGUCAGUCGCGUUAGCUGGGGAUCAGCCUGACAUUGUUGGGUGCACUUCCUGGUUGACGGGCCAACAUCAGUUUUGACUGCCAGAAAAAGGCCAAGGGAAUGUGGCACCUUUGGGUGUGUUAUAGCCUUUGGUCAUAUAUGGUGGUUGGGACUGAGGAACGCAGUGUGCCGAAAGGCCGGGUUUCGACCACGUUCACACUGAGGAUGUUGGCAUAAUGGCUUUAAGCGACCCGUCUUGAAACACGGACCAAGGAGUCUAACAUGCAUGCGAGUGUUUGGGUGGAAAACCCUUACGCGUAAUGAAAGUGAAAGUUGAGAUCCCUGUCGUGGGGAGCAUCGACGCCCGGACCAGAACUUUUGUGACGGAUCUGCGGUAGAGCACGUAUGUUGGGACCCGAAAGAUGGUGAACUAUGCCUGAAUAGGGUGAAGCCAGAGGAAACUCUGGUGGAGGCUCGUAGCGAUUCUGACGUGCAAAUCGAUCGUCAAAUUUGGGUAUAGGGGCGAAAGA